AGUGAACGCUGGCGGUAGGCCUAACACAUGCAAGUCGAACGGCAGCACAGUAAGAGCUUGCUCUUACGGGUGGCGAGUGGCGGACGGGUGAGGAAUACAUCGGAAUCUACUUUUUCGUGGGGGAUAACGUAGGGAAACUUACGCUAAUACCGCAUACGACCUACGGGUGAAAGCAGGGGAUCUUCGGACCUUGCGCGAUUGAAUGAGCCGAUGUCGGAUUAGCUAGUUGGCGGGGUAAAGGCCCACCAAGGCGACGAUCCGUAGCUGGUCUGAGAGGAUGAUCGGCCACACUGGAACUGAGACACGGUCCAGACUCCUACGGGAGGCAGCAGUGGGGAAUAUUGGACAAUGGGCGCAAGCCUGAUCCAGCCAUACCGCGUGGGUGAAGAAGGCCUUCGGGUUGUAAAGCCCUUUUGUUGGGAAAGAAAAGCAGCAGGUUAAUACCCCGCUGUUCUGACGGUGCCCAAAGAAUAAGCACCGGCUAACUUCGUG
rnacentral:rRNA from 1 species